rnacentral:rRNA from 1 species
UACGUAGGUGGCGAGCGUUAUCCGGAAUUAUUGGGCGUAAAGAGCGCGCAGGUGGUUGAUUAAGUCUGAUGUGAAAGCCCACGGCUUAACCGUGGAGGGUCAUUGGAAACUGGUCGACUUGAGUGCAGAAGAGGGAAGUGGAAUUCCAUGUGUAGCGGUGAAAUGCGUAGAGAUAUGGAGGAACACCAGUGGCGAAGGCGGCUUCCUGGUCUGUAACUGACACUGAGGCGCGAAAGCGUGGGGAGCAAACAGGAUUAGAUACCCCGGGUA